CCAAAAGGGGAUUUGUAGCUUUGAUGUCUGAGCAUAUUCCACACCAGCACAUCACUGUUGAAGAAUUUCCAGCGACAAACUCAGAGGGACAGUUUUACUCUCAAGGUGAAAUUGGCAGGCUAUUCAUGAGUGGUGACAUCAAGUGCCAACUGGAGGGUUUCUGCUGCCCUGGGCAAGCUUGAAAAUGUCAGUCAUUUACAGAUGCAGACCAGUUAUUCUGCUAACCUUUUCUACCAUAAUAACACCUGCCAAGAGUCUGCACUGUCAUGUCAUAUAAGCUAAUGUAAUGCACUACAGUCUGAAG